CUGCUUCAGGACAGCAAAGGGAGAUUAGCACGAAGACACCACGUGACGUUUACGUGAGCUAACACCACAACACAGUGACUGUACGACAAAUUUGAUAAAAGUGGACAAAUAAGGUAACAGCUUAUGUAUUUUCUUACCUGUUGACUUACUGAGGACUUCCCAGACAGAUUUCAAGGCGUCUUAAAAGUGCAUUUACGCUCUAAUUCGUUUAAUUUCUGUCUUACGUGAUUGAUUUUUUUUUUCCACUGGCUAAGGCUUCCUUGUAGAAAAUACAUUCAUUAGGCAACAGACAUCUUGCCUCAUGAGUAGAUUAUAUUCUUACCUCUGAACUGAUUGAUAACUUAUUCGAUUUCAAGACGUCUUAAAGUGUAUUUGCGCUCUAAUUUCGUUCUUGCGUGUUCAUACGAACCAAUUUUUGUGUCUUUAACGAACGAACAGGAGCUAAGGCUUCCUGGUAGAAAACUACAUUUGUUGAACAACAUGGUGUCUCAUAAGCGGAUUAUUUUCUUACCUUUCCAAGGCGUCUUAAAGUGACUUUACACUCUUAAUUCAUUUAAAUUUUGUUCUCGCGUGUUCAUACAACCCAAUUUCUGUGUGUUUUUAAAAAACGAACAGGAGCUAAGGCUUCCUGGUAGAAAAAUACGUUUAUUGAACAACAAACAUGGUGUCUUCAUGAGUGGAUUAUUUAUUAAUGGUUACAUUAAGUGAUCUGUCUAUCAGAUGCCAUCAAAUAACACUACACAGAAAUGGAUAUCUGAUAUUGUAAAUUACAGCUGUGUAAAUUAUGUCUGAUUGUCUGAGAUAAAAGGAACAAAUUAUUCUCUGCCAAAAAAA